UGUGACCUACGGGGGGCAGCAGAGGGGAAUAUUGCACAAUGGGGGAAACCCUGAUGCAGCGACGCCGCGUGGGUGAAGAAGUAUUUCGGUAUGUAAAGCCCUAUCAGCAGGGAAGAAAAUGACGGUACCUGACUAAGAAGCCCCGGCUAACUACGUGCCAGCAGCCGCGGUAAUACGUAGGGGGCAAGCGUUAUCCGAAUUUACUGGGUGUAAAGGGAGCGCAGGUGGCGUGCCAAGUCAGGAGUGAAAACCCAGGGCCCAACCCUGGGACUGCUCUUGAAACUGGCAGGCUUGAGUGCUGGAGG
rnacentral:rRNA from 1 species